AGAACGAACGCUGGCGGCAGGCUUAACACAUGCAAGUCGAACGCUUCACCUUCGGGUGGGGAGUGGCAGACGGGUGAGUAACACGUGGGAACGUACCCUUUGGUUCGGAAUAACCCUGGGAAACUAGGGCUAAUACCGGAUACGGCCGAGAGGCGAAAGGUUUACCGCCGGAGGAACGGCCCGCGUCCGAUUAGCUUGUUGGUGAGGUAAUGGCUCACCAAGGCGACGAUCGGUAGCUGGU
rnacentral:rRNA from 1 species